rnacentral:rRNA from 1 species
GGCGAACGCUGGCGGCGGGCUUAACACAUGCAAGUCGAACGGAAAGGCCCUGCUUUUGUGGGGUGCUGGGGUGGCGAACGGGUGAGUAACACGUGAGUAACCUGCCCUUGACUUUGGGAUAACUUCAGGAAACUGGGGCUAAUCCCGGAUAGGAGCUCCUGCUGCAUGGUGGGGGUUGGAACGUUUCGUCGGUUGGGGAUGGACUCGCGGCUUAUCAGCUUGUUGGUGGGGUAGUGGCUUACCAAGGCGUUGACGGGUAGCCGGACUGAGAGGGUGACCGGCUACAUAGGGACUGAGAUACGGCCCAGACUCCUACGGGAGGCAGCAGUGGGGAAUAUUGCACAAUGGGCGGAAGCGUGAUGCAGCAACGCCGCGUGCGGGAUGACGGUCUUCGGGUUGUAAACCGAUUUCGCCUGUGACGAAGCGUGAGUGACGGUAAUGGGUAAAGAAGCACCGGCUAACUACGU